rnacentral:lncRNA from 1 species
UUAAGGAUGUACACCUCUGAGGAGCCAAAAAUUUCUAGAAUUAAACUUUUUUUCUUAACCUGAUUUUUGGGUUUAUAAGACUGUAACAAAAUAAUUGGUGAAGAAAAAAUCAUAUGGCUGUGGUGCACUUCUUUUUUUGCUACGGCCCUUUGAAAAUGCCCAAUUUUGAUGAUUUUCCCAUUUUUCAUCGAUUUUUACCUAUUUUUGGGGCUAUUAUCGUGAAAAAAAUCACAGUUCCACAAUUAAACUUUUUUUCAUACUUUCUAUAAAAAUGAAGUGGACCAAUCUGAAUAAAUUUUACUUAAAAAAACUAUAGGUAGGUG